rnacentral:sRNA from 1 species
AACAAAACAAAGACGCUGGGGAAACUUCACCAAGAGCCUCGGCAGCUCCAGAGCGACGGGAAACGAAAGAUUUUGCUGGAGGAGCUUGCCAACAGUGAUCCCAAGUUAGCCCUCACUGGAGUUCCUAUAGUACAGUGGCCAAAAAGGGAUAAGUAUGGAAUGGAAAAGAGAAGAAAGGGGCCGGGCAUGGUGGCUCACGCCUGUAAUCCCAGCACUUUGGGAGGCCCAGGCAGGUGGAUCACCUGAGGUCAGGAGUUCGAGACCAGCCUGGCCAACAUGGUGAAACACACCGUCUGUACCAAAAAUACAAAAAUUAAGCCAGGCGUGGUGGCAUGCGCCUGUAAUCCCAGCUACUUGCAAGGCUGGGGCAGGAGAAUCGCUUGAACCCAGGAGGCGGAGGUUGCAGUGAGCCAAGAUCGCACCAUUGCACUUCAGCCUGGGGGACAAGAGUGAAACUCUGUCUCAAA